AACAAACGCUGGCGGCGUGCCUAACACAUGCAAGUCGUACGAGAAAGGGUCCUUCGGGGCCUGAGUAAAGUGGCGCACGGGUGAGUAACGCGUGGAUAAUCUGCCCUUCAGUUGGGAAUAACUCAUCGAAAGGUGGGCUAAUACCGAAUAAUGCUGUGAGACCUCGGUUGAUCAGCCAAAGAGAGCCUCUGCUUGCAAGCCCUCGCUGAAGGAUGAGUCCGCGUACCAUUAGCUAGUUGGUAGGGUAAUGGCCUACCAAGGCGACGAUGGUUAGCUGGUCUGAGAGGAUGAUCAGCCAAACUGGAACUGAGACACGGUCCAGACUCCUACGGGAGGCAGCAGUGAGGAAUCUUGCGCAAUGGGGGCAACCCUGACGUAGCAACGCCGCGUGAGUGAGGAAGGUCUUCGGAUCGUAAAGCUCUGUCGGAUGGAAAGAACCGCAUAGGGGUAAACAGCCCCUGUGUCUGACGGUACCAUCAAAGGAAGCACCGGCUAACUCCGUGCCAGCCGCCGCAGUAAAAC
rnacentral:rRNA from 1 species